rnacentral:rRNA from 1 species
UACGUAGGGUGCAAGCGUUGUCCGGAAUUAUUGGGCGUAAAGGGCUCGUAGGCGGUCUGUCGCGUCAGGAGUGAAAACUCGGGGCUCAACCCCGAGCCUGCUUCUGAUACGGGCAGACUGGAGGUAUGCAGGGGAGAACGGAAUUCCUGGUGUAGCGGUGAAAUGCGCAGAUAUCAGGAGGAACACCGGUGGCGAAGGCGGUUCUCUGGGCAUUACCUGACGCUGAGGCGCGAAAGCCAGGGGAGCAAACGGG